UUUAAUAUUUUUUUAUGCCCUUUUCUUCUCUCUAAAUUUUCCUCUCGUCAUUGCGGCCGGCUUCUCCUUCCCUUCAUCUUCUGUUUCUUUCCCAAGAAAUUCAGCACCUAUCCCCUCUCUUUUACUCACAAUUAAUUAAUUGUUACUUCUAUUUUUUUUUCUUCUUCCCUCUCUAUCUCUUCCUUAUCUAAUUUGUUUUCUUCUUAUUCAUCUUUUUUCUCCAUCCAUAUUCAGCCAUCUGUUCGACCCACGACCAAACCCGUCGGAUUCCGGCAAUUCACGGCCAGAUCCGCAAAUCCCGGCAACCCACGGCCUACUCCACCCAGAUCCGGUCACCCCAGACGAACUCUGGCCAAAUCCCGCCACCAACAGCCUCCGAUAUGAAAACCCGGGUCAUUGACCAAUUUUCGGGUUCAUCGGUUUCAGCCGGUCAGAGGGUGUUUUUGACAUUUGACUCCACGCUCCCACUACCAUAAAUUAAUACCGUGGACACUGUCAACAAGCACCAGAAAACAUCAACAAAACACCCGGUGACAAGGUUAGGGUUUCUGGAUUUACGGUUUUUUUUUAAACUCCAACUCCGUUUCAAACAUGAAACCAUCGACAGCGGUAGACUGGGAAUCAAUUAUUGUGAUUGGGCAUGGCGCACCGACCGACCACCAGCGAUUUUGCGAUUAGGCCCAUAGCUCUCUACUAGCAUCGGUGGUUUCUACCAUCUAUAGCAACAACGGCAUCAGUGAUUUGGCAUCAGUGAUUUUAGCACCAAGAACUCAUCACAAACUCUGCAUGGCUCAUGCAUAAUCGUGGACGACAAGAGUAUUUUUGUUUCCUAUUGUGAUAGAUUACACAUCAGGUCUCGUGUAAAUUUUGUUCGAGUUCAAAUUUGAGGGCUCAAUGCAGCAACGGUCUGAUCGAAACUAGCUUUCUGCAUCAACAAGCUCGAGCACGUAACUGAGAAGGAUAUUGAUCUCGAACAUUGUUACAGAAGAAAUAUCUUUUUUAACUUGUAUCGAAUUGAAAAAUUAGGUGGCUUCCUUCAAUUUUAAUGCAAAACUCUUUCGAGUUUUCUUUCGGUCUAUGUAUUAUAUGUUUUGACUAUUGUGGAAUCAUAUGUAAAUUUGGUCUUCUAAGAAUUUUCUGUGCGAAUUUACUUGGUAUCUUC